UCCCGCUCAAACUAAAACCCUAAAUCAAAACACGCGUAGAUGGCUCUGUUCCUUCUCCUACAAUCUUCUUCCCCUCUUUUCCUUCAUCCGCUCUUUUAGCUGAACAUCAAUUAAUCAAAGAUUGAUACAAAUUCCGGACUUUCCAUAAUUUUCAAAUCAGUUUCCUUUUAAUCUUAAUUCCAAUUACAAACCCUAUGCCAAACGAUUUCACCAUCAAUCUUUCUGUCAAUUGUUUUCUUCAAACCUAGAAUUGAUUGUUAUUUGUUGAGGCUUUAUCAGGAGUAAGUUAUCCUCCAUUGAUCGUCGCCUCCUCCAAACCCUAAUCCUAAAUUUGUUGUCCUCCAUUGAUCAUCACCUCCACUUACAUGUUUUUGGUGAUUUUUGGUGUGUUUAGCAUUAAUUGAAUCUUCUAGAAUCAAUGAAGGAGAAGAAAUCAAUGAUUGGGAAUCCAAUUACGAGGCCUGAGCAAUCACACAAUGCCAAUGGUGCAAUGGAAUACGGGCUUGAAAGUGCAGAUCUUCUUAAAAUCAGGAAAGGUGCUGGAGUGAAGGACCCUUUCUGGAUUCCACGACCUGGUUGGAAGCCCGGUGAUUCUCCGGUCCAGGAUCCCAUUCUGGCAAAAGAAAUCAGGAAUCUCCAAGAAUUUGAAGGUCUAAUCGAUGGUUUAAUUUUUUGGUCCCUUCACAAGGAUUAUGAGGAGGAAUUAGGAAAACUAAAAAGGGAGGUCCAGGAGUUGAGUUCAAAGAAAGAUGAAAGUCAAGCUAUUGUGGUUUCCGAACAAGUUGACCCGGUUGCAAAGAGAUUAGAUGCUACUUCAAGGUAUUUCAAGAGAUUGGGUAGCUUAGGAUUUUGGGGACAACUUGCUUGUACAAUUGUAGCUGCAGUCAUCCUUUCCUUUUCUGUUGUCAUCACUGGGGGAAAAUCACAUCACCGGCUACCUUCUAUGCUACGGCUGGUGGUAUUGUAGCUGCUUUCCUCUCGGUGUUCUGGUCGUUUGGUUAUAUUCGUCUUUCUGACAGGCUUAAGAAAACCACCAAUGACCCUUCAAAGAUUCCUUUCCAGCUUGGUUUAUCGAAAAUGGAUCUCAGGAAGAUGGUGAAAUCAAGUUUAUCAGGAGUUGACAAGCACAUUGGUGAAUGGUGGGUCGAUGGCGCCGAUGUUUUUUGGGUUAUUGGGAAGACCGUUAAUGAUGUUUGUUAGCGGCGAUAGUCGCCGAUCUGUAGAUCAUGAGGUGAUUUGGUCUCAAAUCCACUGUAGGAAGCUCGAGUAAAUGUUAUGCGUGCUGCAAUCUUUGAAACAUUUCCUGAACAAAUAGGAGCUUGCUACAGAGAUUUCCUCUUUGCUCUGGAGUUACUACUGUUCAACGAGAUAGUGGAUGAUUGGGGGUUUAAAGGGUGGUUGUGUUUAGAUGAUCUUCAAGUACAUAUCUAAUGAGGCUCAGUUUUUGAAGGCGUACGAUGAGUUGCGGCGCCUAUGGUGAUCGCAGGUUUCUAUAUGAUUUUAAGCUCGAUGGAAUGGUUUUGGUGUAAUGGAUUUGUAAUUUAGCCGCAGUUGAUGUUUUUGUUAAUCUUAUUUUGAUUUUAUUGAUGUUCUUUUGGUUAGAUUAGAGGAGAGAGAGAGAGAGAGAGAGAGAGAGAGAAAAGGCACACAAGGCGGGUCAAGAAACUCAUAAUGGGUAGUCUACGAUCUUCUCUCCUCAUCUUCUCACAUCAUGAGGUUCCAGAGGCCGAGAUGAUCCUGCAACUUGGGCAAAUGAAGUUGGCAAUAGCUCGAGAACCACUUGAGAUAUUUCUAAUAAUUGGGAAACAAUCUUCCAAAGAACUCAAAAAAAAGUUGAAGUUCACUAAACCGCACGAUGACAACAGUAACCGACAGACGAAGACGUUGCGGAUCUCCGAUGUAGAGUGCACGGUGGCUACUUGUAGUGAGUUGUCGAAGGAUGAAGUUGAUUUUGUGCAUUUGCUGGAACAGUGGGUUGAGAGGUUGAAUUCGUUUUCUUUUUUUUUUUUUUUUUUUUUUGCUGUUGACAAAGAGGAAGACUAUAUUCUCAAAUUGAACCGAAGUUUAAAAGUCAUACAGCCACUCAGUGAGGCAGAUGAACGAAGGAAAAUGGUGCUUAGUCAGAUAUUUUCAUCUCAAGCACGUGAAAGACGAAGGCGAAAAUUUGUAUGGAUUGCUUGCUUUUGUAGUAAAGUUGACUAUGUAGUUUGUAUGAUUAUUGGUAUCUAGCAAUGCCAUGAAGCAAUAUGAGAUAACCACGGAUUCUAGAUGUUUCGUUUAUGCUUGAUACGCCGUUUGUUUCCUUUUUACCGGAAGUGCAAAGUGCGGAUAGGAAGGUUCCCUUUAGAGAGAAGUUCAUAUACACUGUCAUCUCUCUUUUCAUCUUUCUGGUGUGCAAUCAGCUUCCUCGGUAUAUGAUACUCGGGUUAGACCAUUUUUUGCACAAUAAGGGUAUUUUAGUCAUUUCAAGCCAGACCUGUUGGUUUGCUUUUGGUCAUGUAAUUGUUAUAGUGCAGGCCUACUUGUGUGGAGUAUGUUAGGUAGUCAAAUAUCAUCACUUUGCCUAGAAGACAAAAAAUAUGAUGAAGUUGAUUGCUUUUUUGUUGAUGCAUUAUUGAAGGAAUGUGCCUUCUGGUCAACUGGAAACUAAGCUUUUGCUACAAAAAAGUCAAAUUUGAUACGGGUAUUUGAUUGGGAUAACUAACUCAAGUGGGUAGUUAACAUAAAUGUUAUAAAUUAAAUGAACUUUUCUUGCAUUUCUAUGUUUC